GACGAACCGUGCGAACGUUGUUCGGAAUCACUGGGCUUAAAGGGCGCGUAGGCGGGCCAUAAAGUCAGGGGUGAAAUCCUCCAGCUUAACUGGAGAACUGCCUUUGAUACUGAUGGUCUCGAGUAAGGUAGGGGCAUGCGGAACUGAUGGUGGAGCGGUGAAAUGUGUUGAUAUCGGGAGGAACACCAGUGGCGAAGGCGGCGACCUGGGCAGAUACUGACGCUGAGGUGCGAAAGCGUGGGGAGCAAACAGG
rnacentral:rRNA from 1 species